UAUUAAAGUUGUUGCAGUUAAAAAGCUCGUAGUUGGAUUUCGGGAUGGGCCAGUCGGUCUGCCGUAAGGUAUGUUACUGGCUGGUCUGUCCUUCUUCGCAAAGACUGCGUGUGCCCUUGAUUGUGUGUGCGUAGGAUUUGCGACGUUUACUUUGAAAAAAUUAGAGUGUUCAAGGCAGGCUGACCGCUUGAAUACAUGAGCAUGGAAUAAUGGAAUAGGACUUUGGUUCUAUUUUGUUGGUUUCUUGAACCGAAGUAAUGAUUAAGAGGGACAGUUGGGGGCAUUCGUAUUUCGUUGUCAGAGGUGAAAUUCUUGGAUUUACGAAAGACGAACAACUGCGAAAGCAUUUGCCAAGAAUGUUUUCAUUAAUCAAGAACGAAAGUUAGAGGCUCGAAGACGAUCAGAUACCGUCCUAGUUCUAACCAUAAACGAUGCCGACUAGGGAUCAGCGGGCGUUAUUUUAUGACCCCGUUGGCACCUUAUGGGAAACCAAAGUUUUUGGGUUCCGGGGGAAGUAUGGUUGCAAAGCUGAAACUUAAAGGAAUUGA
rnacentral:rRNA from 1 species